rnacentral:rRNA from 1 species
AUUGAACGCUGGCGGCAGGCUUAACACAUGCAAGUCGAGCGGAGACUUCGGUCUUAGCGGCGAACGGGUGAGGAAUGCCUGGGAAUCUGCCUGUUAGUGGGGGAUAAACGUUCCGAAAGGAGCGCUAAUACCGCAUACGUCCUACGGGAGAAAGCAGGGGACCUUCGGGCCUUGCGCUAACAGAUGAGCCCAGGUCGGAUUAGCUAGUUGGUGGGGUAAAGGCUCACCAAGGCGACGAUCCGUAGCUGGUCUGAGAGGAUGAUCAGCCACACUGGAACUGAGACACGGUCCAGACUCCUACGGGAGGCAGCAGUGGGAAUAUUGGACAAUGGGCGAAAGCCUGAUCCAGCCAUGCCGCGUGUGUGAAGAAGG